GAGGUUGUGGCUCAGUGGUAGAGCGCUUGCCUCCCACGUGUGAGAGCUGGGUUCAAUCCUCAGCACCACA
rnacentral:tRNA from 1 species